CUAGUAGGCAGGUGCACCUCGUUUUGGUGACUGAGCUGUGCAAUCUGGUUGUUUGGGAGACAUGGACGAGUGUGUAUUCCUGUUCAGAUCCAGGCGUGAGCAGACAGGAGGUCUACCGAACAUGUUUGCAGACAUGUAGUGAGGCCACCACGUAUCUGGUAAAGCAGGCCCAAGUCAACAAAAAGCUUGAACACCAAAACUGUUUUUUGAAGAAGGAACUUGAAAAAAUGACAAUCAAACAACAACAGCAACAAGACAGACAGCUGUCACAGCAAUGGUCUCCAGAUGUUAUCACAGAUGAGGACCUUUUUGGCAAUGCCAUUAGACGACCUAGCUGCUGACGGAUGACACAGAUGUGUUCUUAUUUAUAUAUCGCCC